CUCCUCGUAGCUCAGUCUGGUUAGAGUGCCUGCCUUGGAAGCAGGAGGUCGUAGGUUCGAAUCCUACCGGGGUGA
rfam:Pseudomonas aeruginosa phage PaP3, complete genome.